rnacentral:rRNA from 1 species
AUGAAGCCUAGCGAUUGUAAAUUUAGUGGCGGACGGGUGAGUAACGCGUGGGUAACCUGCCUUGUACUGGGGGACAACAGUUGGAAACGACUGCUAAUACCGCAUAAGCGCACGGUGUCGCAUGACACAGUGUGAAAACACUCCGGUGGUAUGAGAUGGACCCGCGUCUGAUUAGCUAGUUGGUGAGGUAACGGCCUACCAAAGCGACGAUCAGUAGCCGGCCUGAGAGGGUGAACGGCCACAUUGGGACUGAGAUACGGCCCAGACUCC